rnacentral:rRNA from 1 species
AGAGUUUGAUCCUGGCUCAGGAUGAACGCUAGCUACAGGCUUAACACAUGCAAGUCGAGGGGAAACGACAUCGAAAGCUUGCUUUUGAUGGGCGUCGACCGGCGCACGGGUGAGUAACGCGUAUCCAACCUGCCCACCACUUGGGGAUAACCUUGCGAAAGUAAGACUAAUACCCAAUGACGUCUCUAGAAGACAUCUGAAGGAGAUUAAAGAUUUAUCGGUGAUGGAUGGGGAUGCGUCUGAUUAGCUUGUUGGCGGGGUAACGCCACCAAGGCGACGAUCGAGUAGGGGUUCUGAGAGGAACGGUCCCCCANAGUUGGAACUGAGACACCGGUCCAAACUCCGUACGGAGGCA